ACGAACGCUGGCGGCAGGCCUAACACAUGCAAGUCGAGCGAGGACUUCGGUUCUAGCGGCGGACGGGUGAGUACCGCGUGGGAAUGUGCCCUUCUCUACGGAAUAGCCCUGGGGAACUGGGAGUAAUACCGUAUACGCCCUAUUGGGGAAAGAUUUAUCGGAGAAGGAUUAGCCCGCGUUGGAUUAGGUAGUUGGUGGGGUAAUGGCCUACCAAGCCGACGAUCCAUAGCUGGUUUGAGAGGAUGAUCAGCCACACUGGGACUGAGACACGGCCCAGACUCCUACGGGAGGCAGCAGUGGGGAAUCUUAGACAAUGGGGGCAACCCUGAUCUAGCCAUGCCGCGUGAGUGAUGAAGGCCUUAGGGUUGUAAAGCUCUUUCAGCUGGGAAGAUAAUGACGGUACCAGCAGAAGAAGCCCCGGCUAACUCCGUG
rnacentral:rRNA from 1 species